GGGUCAGUGGCGCAAUGGUAGCGCAAGGGACUCUUAAUCCCGAGGCUGAGAGUUCAAAUCUCUCCUGGCCCA
rnacentral:tRNA from 1 species